rnacentral:rRNA from 1 species
UACGGAGGGGGCUAGCGUUGUUCGGAAUUACUGGGCGUAAAGCGCACGUAGGCGGCUUUGUAAGUUAGAGGUGAAAGCCCAGGGCUUAACCCUGGAAUUGCCUUUAAGACUGCAUCGCUAGAAUUGUGGAGAGGUGAGUGGAAUUCCGAGUGUAGAGGUGAAAUUCGUAGAUAUUCGGAAGAACACCAGUGGCGAAGGCGACUCACUGGACACGUAUUGACGCUGAGGUGCGAAAGCGUGGGGAGCAAACAGG